rnacentral:rRNA from 1 species
GAUGAACGCUGGCGGCGUGCUUAACACAUGCAAGUCGAACGAACCUUCGGGUUAGUGGCGGACGGGUGAGUAACGCGUGAGAAUCUGCCCUCAGGAGGGGGAUAACGGCUGGAAACGGCCGCUAAUACCCCAUAUGCCGAGAGGUGAAAUGAAAUUCGCCUGAGGAUGAGCUCGCGUCUGAUUAGCUAGUUGGUGUGGUAAAGGCUCACCAAGGCUUCGAUCAGUAGCUGGUCUGAGAGGAUGAUCAGCCACACUGGGACUGAGACACGGCCCAGACUCCUACGGGAGGCAGCAGUGGGGAAUUUUCCGCAAUGGGCGCAAGCCUGACGGAGCAACGCCGCGUGAGGGAUGAAGGCCUCUGGGCUGUAAACCUCUUUUAUCAAGGAAGAAGAUCUGACGGUACUU